AAUCAAUCAAACUUUGGUUUGGAAAUGGAGGAAGCGUUGGCUACAUCGCUCUUCUAUAAGCUAUUGGCGAUGGUGUUCUAGCUUGUAAGACGUAGUAAGUAAUUUCUCGUCAACGCAGCUGUUCUUGCUAUCUGUCAGCUGAAUAAUUUAUUUCUACA
rnacentral:misc_RNA from 1 species